ensembl:lncRNA
GCUCAAUAUAUUAUAAUGAUUUUAUGUAUAUUUGUUUUAAUAGGUUUUCAUGUUGUCUUAGCCAAUUUAUUCCUCUUAACCAUUUUCAUGUGUGUAUGUCUUUAAGUGACUCUGGAUCUGCCUGUCAUGUGUCUUUGGAUAGUAUAUACACCAGUGGACACUUCUCACAUUCACACUGGGACUUACAGCACGCUGGAAUUCUUAAGGACUGUUUUAAUAGUAUGGAAAGACUCUGUGCUUUUAACAGCCUAGGAUUACUAGUUUUAUUGUGGUGUUUUAAGUCUCUUGUGAACAUUGUAAAUACAUAUUUUAUUUUCACUUUUAACAUUGUUGUUUGACUCUUUUUUUUUUUUUUUUUUUUUUUUUUUUAAACACUCAAAUCCCUCACACAGUUUAAUCUGACCCCAUUUUAAAUUCAUGUAAUUCGGCUGAUAAGGCUGAUCGAUACAAAGUAAAUUAAAGAUCUUUCACAUCUGUCACAUAUUAGGGGUUAAACGGAUCUCAGUUGAUUCAUGAUAUGUACAGACGAGACCCUAUACUGUUCGGCACACAGAUUCAUUUGCAAAUUUACAUGUUAAAGCAAUUUUAUACCAUAAGAAUAAGAAAUGAAAGAGAGCUCAAUUCGAUGCUCAUGCACUGUUUUCGCACAAAAUCAAAGCACAACCAAGCAUACAGAGACGUGUUUCAGACAGCACGGAAAUACAGAGUUGUGUAUAUGUACACAUAAAAUAAGCUUAUGUAAAAAAUGCUUCACGGCAUUGUCAUUGUGCUUUAUUUUUUUUCUUGCUUAUCCGAAAAAAUAAUCCGAUCUGUGACUCAAAAAAAAAAAAAAAAAAAAAAAAUUUUUUUUUUAUAUAUGUGUGUGUGUGUGUGUGUGUGUGUGUGUGUAUGUAUGUGUAUGUAUGUUUAUGUAUAUGUAUGUAUAUGUAUAUGUAUGUAUAUGUAUAUGUAUGUAUAUGUAUAUGUGUGUUGAACCACUAUAAUACUAUAUAACAGCAAUAAUCCCAACCCCCAAUUUCUCAGAGGAACUACGCAAGGUGUUUCUUCGCUCGGCUCAAGGUACUGAGGCGGCACGAGCCUUGCCGCUGCUACGGCAGGGUGAACAGUCAGUAUCGAAUUUCACACACACGCGGCAUCCUGUGGCUAGAACGACAAAGCUCUCUGGGACCACUUUCUCCACAGUCUGGUCAAGCAUAUUAAGGAUGAAUUCUGCACCCUCGAAUUACCCUCGAGCCUGGAUGGGCUCAUCGACCUCGCCAUCCAAAUGGAUAACCGGAUUUUCCUCCGUUCUCAUCAUCGGAGGACCCUGGACCCUCAUGUUUCCCCCUGAGCCCGUCA